UUGAAGUUUGGUAAAACUUUGCUGAAACUUUUCACCUAUUUACUUUUCAAAUUGAACAUUACAUUAGUCAAAUGUCUGUCUUGUGAUUUAUGGACUGUCCAACCGCUCACGAGAUGCAGCAAAGCUGAUUUGAGGGUCGUGCUUUCUUUGUACCAGAUGUUUCCGUGGUUACCAUAGUAACGAAGCUUGUUUGUUAAUGCAAUGUAGCGACUGAGCUUGCAAAUAAAGAAACUAAAUAACAUUUUAUAUCUAUGACAUAUGCUCAGUUGUUACAUUUUACAUGACCUUUUAUAGGUCUCCAUACAUUGGGUAAACUUUCAGAAGUAAUACAAAUGCCGCGACCAAAGUAUUUCACUCCGAACGAGGUGUCCUUUCAUAACACCAUGCCUUGGCGACUUGUGGGUGUCAUACUUGUGUACGACCUGACACUACUGGUGAAUGACUUUAAAGUGUGUUCCGAGGAGACCUUGAAUGAGAUUCCCCAGCGGUAACUUCGCAACGGCUCCCACGCCGCCAGCUCCACCUGGAAGCACAACUGCGUCAACCGGGACAUUAGUAGGACACUGGAGGAGAACGGUAUCCUCGACAAGGAUGAGGACUUCUACAGCGGACGCAUGGACCACGACCUCUUCUCCCAGUCCAUCGGUCUCUACUCAAUGACAAUCCCACUGAACUUUGACCUCAUAUGUAAGGAUGUCAGAAAAUGGUGAUGAGCAAUAUGAGCAACCUAUUAAAAGGUUGACUUACAAAA